rnacentral:rRNA from 1 species
UUGAAAGGGAAACGAUUGAAGUCAGUCGUACCUGCGGGUAAUCAGCCUUUUGGGCAUGAUUCUGUGGAGCGUGAGGAGUUAAACGCCUUCAUGCCUGCAUAUUCGUGUACUUUGGGUGUACUUGCCUGUGUGGUUAGUUAACAUCAAUUUUGGUUAUCAUAAAAUGGUUGGAGGAAUGUAGCUUCGAUUUCGAUUGAAGUGUUAUAGCCUUCGGCAGAUGUGAUGAUCGGGAUUGAGGAUUGCAACGGAUACCCUUCGGGGCUACCCGUCUGGUCUCUGAUCGUUGCUCUGGUGCCGAAAGCGUGCUUACGGUUAUCAAAGUCGAUGGUCAACAGGUUAGAACGGGUUAAAUUCGUUAAGGAUGUUGACGUA